GUUGAUUACUGGUUGUCGUCUGCUUCGUCGGCUGUCGGCUACUCUAUGGCCCUCCCCAAACAUGCCGGAGCUGACACAGGCCAGCCAGCUUUUUAGCCCACCCACUCUUUCGCACAGUUUGCGCCCGAUUCUCCUCCUCCACCUGCCCCCGAGAAGCGUCUCCGGGUCGGCCGGCGCUGUAGUUAGUGCUGGGCACAAUGGCCAUAUACAAAAGGAGUCACCCGUUUGCACGAACCGUUCGACAACUUCAUCAGGACAACCCAUUGAGAGGCGGGAGUGGCAAUAGUGAUCAAUCUUUUGCAUAGGUGCGUACUCGCCGAUAGAAAUUAGUCUUACCAUAACACUAGUCCAUUCAAAAAGGGAUUUCUCAAAACUGCAAGCGAAGGAACCCUGUAGACAUGAGAGAUUAUGGCUACCGCCAUCUUGAAUGCGUAUCAUUUGAACCACAAUAAAUAGCUUCUGCCCAUAAAUAAAGGACAAACAGAUGACGACUGUGCUGACUCAUCGUUCGAGCACAAAUCUGAUUGGCUUGCAUGCGGACCUGAGAUGGCCAAGGUGUAUCAUGUCAUUUGAGAUAAAAUAAAAGAAAGCAACAGCAGUAAAGCAUUAUUUCGGACGACUGGGUCUUUCCAGUGAGAAAGGCAAAAAACCCACGGUUGGUUUCGAAGCUACUACUCAAUUGACUUAAAUGAUUUUACGUCCUGCCGGCACUACCGUUCGACAUUCCGUCGGAUUCGAACCUGUUACAGUCGUUCCGUAGCGUACAAUCACAUUAAGCUGGCGUCCGGUUGCGCGCACACACAGGCGUAGCCUGUGAAUGUAGCCCGGCCCCUGGGGAUGUACCGCGCCGGCCCUGCCUUCAGAGGCACCGCCACGGCCGCCGCCGCCGCCAUCAGUACUUCUACUGCAACUACUCCUUCUACCCCCGCGGCACAAGCAGCGCUGCUAUUGCCAACAGCAGCACA